rnacentral:rRNA from 1 species
GACGAACGCUGGCGGCGUGCUUAACACAUGCAAGUCGAACGGAAAGGCCCUGCUUUUGUGGGGUGCUCGAGUGGCGAACGGGUGAGUAACACGUGAGUAACCUGCCCUUGACUUUGGGAUAACUUCAGGAAACUGGGGCUAAUACCGGAUAGGAGCUCCUGCUGCAUGGUGGGGGUUGGAAAGUUUCGGCGGUUGGGGAUGGACUCGCGGCUUAUCAGCUUGUUGGUGGGGUAGUGGCUUACCAAGGCUUUGACGGGUAGCCGGCCUGAGAGGGUGACCGGCCACAUUGGGACUGAGAUACGGCCCAGACUCCUACGGGAGGCAGCAGUGGGGAAUAUUGCACAAUGGGCGGAAGCCUGAUGCAGCAACGCCGCGUGCGGGAUGACGGCCUUCGGGUUGUAAACCGCUUUCGCCUGUGACGAAGCGUGAGUGACGGUAAUGGGUAAAGAAGCACCGGCUAACUACGUGCCAGCAGCCGCGGUGAUACGUAGGGUGCGAGCGUUGUCCGGAUUUAUUGGGCGUAAAGGGCUCGUAGGUGGUUGAUCGCGUCGGAAGUGUAAUCUUGGGGCUUAACCCUGAGCGUGCUUUCGAUACGGGUUGACUUGAGGAAGGUAGGGGAGAAUGGAAUUCCUGGUGGAGCGGUGGAAUGCGCAGAUAUCAGGAGGAACACCAGUGGCGAAGGCGGUUCUCUGGGCCUUUCCUGACGCUGAGGAGCGAAGGCGUGGGGAGCGAACAGGCUUAGAUACCCUGGUAGUCCACGCUGUAAACGGUGGGUACUAGGUGUGGGGUCCAUUCCACGGGUUCCGUGCCGUAGCUAACGCUUUAAGUACCCCGCCUGGGGAGUACGGCCGCAAGGCUAAAACUCAAAGGAAUUGACGGGGCCCCGCACAAGCGGCGGAGCAUGCGGAUUAAUUCGAUGCAACGCGUAGAACCUUACCUGGGUUUGACAUGGAUCGGGAGUGCUCAGAGAUGGGUGUGCCUCUUUUGGGGUCGGUUCACAGGUGGUGCAUGGCUGUCGUCAGCUCGUGUCGUGAGAUGUUGGGUUAAGUCCCGCAACGAGCGCAACCCUUGUUCACUGUUGCCAGCACGUUAUGGUGGGGACUCAGUGGAGACCGCCGGGGUCAACUCGGAGGAAGGUGGGGAUGACGUCAGGUCAUCAUGCCCCUUAUGUCCAGGGCUUCACGCAUGCUACAAUGGCUGGUACAGAGAGUGGCGAGCCUGUGAGGGUGAGCGAAUCUCGGAAAGCCGGUCUCAGUUCGGAUUGGGGUCUGCAACUCGACCUCAUGAAGUCGGAGUCGCUAGUAAUCGCAGAUCAGCAACGCUGCGGUGAAUACGUUCCCGGG